GGGGACAGCUCAGUGGUAGAGCGCGUGCCUAGCACGUACGAGGUCCUGGGUUAAAUCCCCAGUGCAUCCA
rnacentral:tRNA from 1 species